rnacentral:rRNA from 1 species
AUUGAACGCUGGCGGCAGGCCUAACACAUGCAAGUCGAGCGAGCGGCGGACGGGUGAGUAAUGUAUGGGGACUGCCCGAUAGAGGGGGGGAACUACUGGACACGGUAGCUAAUACCGCAUACUAUCGGAUAACCCAUAUGGGAUUAGCUAGUAGGUGAGGUAAUGGGUCACCUAGGCGACGAUCCCUAGCUGGUCUGAGAGGAUGAUCAGCCACACUGGGACGGAGACACGGCCCAGACUCCUACGGAGGCAGCAGUGGGGAAUAUUGCACAAUGGGCGCAAGCCUGAUCCAGCCAUCCCGCGUGUAUGAUGAAGGCCUUCGGGUUGUAAAGUACUUUUGGCAGAGAAGCGGUAUCUGCAGAGUAAGCACCGGCUAACUACGUGCCAGCAGCCGCGGUAAUUC